rnacentral:rRNA from 1 species
AGCAGCCGCGGUAAUUCCAGCUCCAAUAGCGUAUAUUAAAGUUGUUGCAGUUAAAAAGCUCGUAGUUGAACUUCGGGGUUCACCCAUUGGUCAGGCUUAAUUGUCUGCACUGGUGAGAUGAAUCUCUACCUUCUGAGGAACUUUCAUGCCAUUUACUUGGUGUGAUUGGAAAUCAGGACUGUUACUUUGAAAAAAUUAGAGUGUUUAAAGCAGGCUAACGUCUGAAUACAUUAGCAUGGAAUAAUGAAAUAGGACGGAUUGAUUCUAUUUCGUUGGUUUCUAGGAUCACCGUAAUGAUUAAUAGGGAUAGUUGGGGGCAUUAGUAUUCAGUUGUCAGAGGUGAAAUUCUUGGAUUUAUUGAGGACUAACUACUGCGAAAGCAUUUGCCAAGGAUGUUUUCAUUAAUCAAGAACGAAAGUUAGGGGAUCGAAGACGAUCAGAUACCGUCGUAGUCUUAACCAUAAACUAUGCCGACUAGGGAUCGGACGAAGUUAAUUUUAUAAUGACGCGUUC